rnacentral:rRNA from 1 species
GACGAACGCUGGCGGCGUGCUUAACACAUGCAAGUCGAACGGAAAGGCCCUGCUUGCAGGGUACUCGAGUGGCGAACGGGUGAGUAACACGUGGGUGAUCUGCCCUGCACUUCGGGAUAAGCCUGGGAAACUGGGUCUAAUACCGGCUAGGAGCCAUUUUUAGUGUGAUGGUUGGAAAGUUUUUUCGGUGUAGGAUGAGCUCGCGGCCUAUCAGCUUGUUGGUGGGGUAAUGGCCUACCAAGGCGGCUACGGGUAGCCGGCCUGAGAGGGUGGACGGCCACAUUGGGACUGAGAGACGGCCCAGACUCCUACGGGAGGCAGCAGUGGGGAAUAUUGCACAAUGGGCGCAAGCCUGAUGCAGCGACGCCGCGUGGGGGAUGACGGCCUUCAGGUUGUAAACUACUUGCGCUAGGGACGAAGCUUUUUGUGACGGUACCUAGAUAAGAAGCACCGGCUAACUACGUG